rnacentral:rRNA from 1 species
GAUGAACGCUGGCGGCGUGCCUAAUACAUGCAAGUCGAGCGGUAAGGCCCUUCGGGGUACACGAGCGGCGGACGGCUGAGUAACACGUAGGAACCUACCCCAAACUGAGGGAUAAGCACCAGAAAUGGUGUCUAAUACCGCAUGUGCUCUACGGAGUAAAGCUUUGGCGGUUUGGGAAGGGCCUGCGUCCGAUUAGCUAGUUGGUGGUAUAAAAGACUACCAAGGCGACGAUCGGUAGCUGGUCUGAGAGGAUGAUCAGCCAGACUGGGACUGAGACACGGCCCAGACUCCUACGGGAGGCAGCAGUAGGGAAUUUUCCACAAUGGGCGAAAGCCUGAUGGAGCAACGCCGCGUGCAGGAUGAAUGCCUUCGGGUUGUAAACUGCUUUUAUCUGUGACGAAUAUGACAGUAGCAGAUGAAUAAGGACCUGCUAACUACGUGCCAGCCGCCGCGGUAA